CGUUAUGGCGGCUGUUCGUGGGGCACAUUCGUGUGCGCCGGGUUCCUUGAUUCCUGGUCUGUCAACCCGCGUACAGUCGCCACCAUU
rnacentral:antisense_RNA from 2 species